GUAAACCAGUAUUCUGCAAAUUGUAUGGAAGCAGUAAUAUUCAUUUCUGCUCAUGGGGAACAUUUUCAAGAUUCAAGACAGAGUCUCACUCUGUCACCAAAGCUGCAGUGCAGUGGCAUGAACUCAGCUCACUGCAACCUCUGCCUCACGGGUUCAAGCAAUUCUCCAGCCUCGGCCUCCUGAGUAGCUGCGAUUACAGUUGGUCAGCCCAGGAUGGCCAAAGUAAUGUUUUCGCUAACCACAUCCUGUUGGUUGUAGUUUUUCACUCCAGUGCAUAGUGUGAUGACUACGGGAAAACCAAAACUAAAAACAAACAUCUUUCACCUCUAAGAACAUGUGGCCUUGGGUACUAUCGGGAGGCCGUGGAAGCCUAAAAUUUGGAUAUAAUGCCCUGGAUCAUGAAAAUAAGAAACAAAAUCCCAAGAUGCUUCCUUUGGAUAUACCUCAUACCUAAUCCAUUUUGCCACCUUUGCAAUAGCUGAUGUUUUUCCUGGUGUACUUCUUUUUGUUAGGUGAAUUAUCCAUGGAAAACUAAAAAUUCCCUCCAAAAUUGUUAAAUUCUAAGUAGUGAUUUCAGGGCCAUAGCUACGUAUUUUAAUAGAAAUGAAAACAUAAAUGAAAAAUACCUUAUGACACCACAGCAAUUAAAAAAUCCUAUCUAUCUGGUUGUUUCAUCGAAAGAGUAAUUAAUUACUUUGUUUAACUAGUCUGGAACCAAUGACAGCAGGGCUGCUGGCAAUGCCUGGUAAUGAGCUGUCACAUCAAUUAGUGUUGGGGGGUCCAAUUACUUUAAAAAGCAUCUCUAUUAUGGCUAAUUCUUUACUCAGCAGACAAUUCAUGAGUGGCUUUGCACAUUUUUAAAGAAUUGAUUCCAAGAGAUAACUGGACCGCUAAGGAUUAAAGUCCUAUGCUGCUGUAGACUUAAAGUUUAAGUGCCUUUUAGUCCAAGGCAGUUAACCAAGAAUUCUUCCAAGCGCCCUACCUUCAAUAAGACAGAUGCUCAAAAGUACUUGUUGAAUGACCACCCCUCUUUCCAAAAUGGAAAAUAAGAAAGUUAAAAUGUAAACAUCCAGCAUAGGAAGGCACUCAAGUCUGUUUAAGUAAAACCACGUCAACCAAGAACCAGCAGCAAAACCUUGGGAAUCUAUUUGUCAGAAGUACCCAGCUAUGAAUGGGAUGGCUAUAUCCAGAACUUAAUUCUGUCUGGUGUCACUUAAUUCUGUCUGGUGUCACUUGUUUUAUUUUUCCUUCUUUAAAGGAGUGGUUGUCAAAGUAGGUUUCUAAUGUUGGCUGGUUUUACUUUAAAUUUACCACUCACUCCAAGUGGGCUUCUGAUGUCACUCCAUGAUCAUACUAUAUUUCUAGCCCUGCAUGCUUUUAUUCUCUAGGUGAUGAUUUCAUCCAUCAUCCACUGUCCCCUCUCCUCAAAAGCUCAACAUCUCCUUCCCUGGCCUUCAUUUACUCCAUUUAUAUCUCAUAGAACAGAAGUUUCUCCACCAGCUUCUAACCCCACAUUCACCCACCUACCCAUACCUGUGCCUGCUCUGUUUUUUCCUCCUGCUAAUGUGGAGGAAAGGCUCAUCUUCUGUUCCACGAGCUCUGCAAGUUUCACUUGUGGUCUAGAGCUCCUCUACUCUGCCCUGUUCAAGAAUAUCGUUCCAGCAAUCUCCAAGCCCACCCUGCAGCAACAUUUGUCCCUCUCUACUGGAUAUCCCUAUCUAUAUACUAAUGUGCUGUUAUUUCUCCCAGCAUUGAAUUUCAUUUAUGGACCCCACUUUCCUCAUGAUCUAAAAUGUGACUUCCCUGCUUCUCUGUAGUGUUGGAUGUCUACAUCAUUUCUAAGAACAGUGAAUUACUGACUUAAGUGCUUUUGUUCCUCAUUUAGAGGCUCUAUCUUUGGUCCCUGUAAAUGUUCUUUCUUGCCACUUUGAGGAGUUGUAUGAGGGAUGCAUGCAGCAGUAGAAAGUUAAGUGUAUAAAAUGCUACAGUAACUAAAACAGCAUGAUACUGGUACAAAAACAGGCACAUAGACCAAUGAAACAGAAUAGAGAGCCCAGAAAUAAGGCUGCACAUGUAUGACCAUCUAAUCUUUGACAAAGCUGACAAAAACAAGGAAUGGGAAAAAGACUUCCUAUUUAAUAAAUGGUGCUGGAAUAACUGGCUAGCCACGUGCAGAAAAUUGAAGCUGGACCCCUUUCUUACAUCAUACAGAAAAAUCAACUCAAGAUAGAUUAAUGACUUAAAUGUAAAACUCCAAACUAUAAAAACCCUGGAAGACAACCUAGGCAUUACUAUCCCGGACAUAGGAACUGGCAAAGAUUUAAUGACAAAGACUCCGAAAGCAAUCACGACAAAAGCAAAAACUGACAAUUGGGACCUAAUUAAACUGAAAAGCUUCUACACAGCAAAAGAAACUAUCAACAGAGUAAAGAGAAAACCUACAAAAUGGAAGAAAAUAUUUGCAAACCAUGAAUGUGACAAAAGUCUAAUAUCCAGCUCCUACAAGGAACUUAAAUUUACAAGAAAAAACCCUAUUAUAAAGUGGACAAAGGACAUGAACAGACACUUCUCAAAAGAAGACCUAAAUACAACCAACAAGCAUAUGAAAAAAAGCUCAAUAUCACUGAUCAUUAGAGAAAUGCAAAUCAAAACCACAAUGAGAUACCAUCUCACAGCAGUCAGAAUGGCUAUUAUUAAAAAAGUCAAAAAAUAACAGAUGCUGGCAAGGUUGCAGGAAUAAAGGAAUGCUUAUAUACUGUUGGUGGGAGUGUAAAUUAGCUCAACCUUAGUGGAAAGCGAUUCCUCAAAAAGCUAAAAGUGGAAUUACUACUUGACCCAGCAAUCUCAUUACUGGGUUUAUACAUGGAGGAAUAUAAAUCAUUUUACCAUAAAGACACAUGUACGUGAAUAUUCAUUGCAGCACUAUUCACAAUAGCAAAGACAUGGAGUCAACCUGAAUGCCCAUCAGUGACAGAGUGGAUAAAGAAAAUGUGGUACAUACACACCAUGGAAUACUGUACAGCCAUAAAAAAGCAUGAGUCAUGUCUUUUGCAGGAACAUAGAUGGAGCUGGAGGCUGUUAUCCUUAGCAAACUGAUGCUGAAACAGAAAACAGAAUAUGGUGUGUUCUCACUUAUAAGUGGAAGCUAAAUAAUAAGAACUUAUGAACACAAAAAAGGGAACAAAAGACACUGGGGCCUACUUGGGGGAGGGUGAGAGGAAGGAGAGGAGCAGGAAAGGUAACUAUUGGUUACUGGGCUUAAUACUUGGGUGAUGAAAUAACACACACAGCAAAGCCCUGUAACACUUGUUUAUGUAUGUACAAAAGUUUCACAUAUACCCCCAAACCUAAAAAAAAAAAAAAAAAAAAAGGAAAGUGUGCUUACGAGCUCUGUGAGUCUGCUGAAAUGAUGGUAGACGACAAGCUGUCCUCAAUCAUUCGCCCCCCGCUCCCCAGCCAAUUUUCUCUGUGCAACAGUGGCUAUUUACUUUGGUUACAAGAUAAAAUUUAUGUAAGUGGUUGAGCCUAGACUUAGGGGCACUAGUUUCAGAAAAAAAUGAAACUAUAUAUAUUUCCAUGUUUUUUCCAAGGCCAAGAGUAGUUUUGUCCUAAGACAACAGUAAUCAGUAUUUUUUGCUUUUGUUUUGUUUUGGUUUUCUUUAUACUCUUUAACUACUUUUUACUUUUCACAUACCUUACUCUCUUGUACUAUGAAAACUUAUUGAAGACUCCAAAGAGGUUUUACUUCUAGGUUGUAAAUGUCAGUACUCACUGUUGGAAACUGAAACAGAACCACUACAAUGCUUAUUGAAACUGAAACAGAACCACUACAAUGCUUAUUUAAUGAUGCCAAGGAAGAUAGCAAAGAUAAAAGCAUUGCAUAUUAAUAACAUCUCGGUAAUAGGAUGAAGUUAUUUCUGGCCUCAGAAACAGCCCUGAGACCUGUCCGAAAAUCAAGUGUCAUUUUGUUCCACAUAUGAAAGAGCAGAACCACAGACACAACUUGGAAAGUAAAACUCAUCUGCCUUGGUUUUUAUAAUGCCUGAAUCUGGAAAUCUAUAAAACCUGUUAAGAUACUAGCAAAGCUUUCUCAAUUUUGAUGAGCUUAUUUUCUUUGUUUACUGACUAAUAUCUUCAUCUGCAAUAUAAAGUGUUACCAUUUUUGUUGUGUGUAAUCUGUCUAGAUAAUAAAGAUUUUCUUUUCACCAGA
ensembl:lncRNA novel transcript, antisense to GRM7